UACGUAGGGUGCAAGCGUUGUCCGGAAUUUAUUGGGCGUAAAGAGCUCGUAGGCGGUUUGUCGCGUCGAAUGUGAAAACCCGGGGCUCAACUCCGGGCCUGCAUUCGAUACGGGCAGACUAGAGUUCGGUAGGGGAGUCUGGAAUUCCUGGUGUAGCGGUGAAAUGCGCAGAUAUCAGGAGGAACACCGGUGGCGAAGGCGGGACUCUGGGCAUUAACUGACGUGAGGAGCGAAAGCAUGGGGGAGCGAACAGGA
rnacentral:rRNA from 1 species